rnacentral:lncRNA from 1 species
AAAUCCCAGUUUGAAAAGAUUUUGUAAGCCAUUAGAAAUUGGCUUCAAUAAACAACUAAGUACCAUUGUAAUGACUAAAGAGUUCUUUUCUUUCUCUUAUCAGGACAGGUUUUAGUGAUUAUUCCCUAACAGGUAGGGGAUCUUGGAAGAGUUUCAGCAGAGAUAUUGCCAUAAUUGGCAAGGAAGAGUCCCAAUGGAACAUUACCACUGGCUACACUCAUUAAGGCAUGAGCCUCCUAAGAACAAAAUCAAUAGAAGACAUCAGUCUGUUUGAAGUGUCACUGCUAUGAAAAAUGGAGAUAGUUCCUAAGAAGCUAUGUUAACAAACAUCUGUAACUAUAAGAUUUCAUCAUAUUCAUCUCUUCUUUCCUCAUUUCUUCUGGCCAUCCCCUGGGCUUAGAAUAUACUCCUUCCAUAUCCAUCUGUAUCACUUGGAAGAUUAAUACAGAGCUUUUCACAGCCUACACUGAACUGUUGGAAAUCACCCUUUACAGUAUCUAAGGGAAAAAGGACAUCGAGGUUUUGGAUCAUCUGACUUGAUCCUGGAGGCUGUAACAAGGAUACUUGAGAAACUAAGCC